rnacentral:rRNA from 1 species
AUGCAAGUCGAGCGGUAGCACAGAGAGCUUGCUCUCGGGUGACGAGCGGCGGACGGGUGAGUAAUGUCUGGGAAACUGCCUGAUGGAGGGGGAUAACUACUGGAAACGGUAGCUAAUACCGCAUAAUGUCGCAAGACCAAAGUGGGGGACCUUCGGGCCUCAUGCCAUCAGAUGUGCCCAGAUGGGAUUAGCUAGUAGGUGGGGUAACGGCUCACCUAGGCGACGAUCCCUAGCUGGUCUGAGAGGAUGACCAGCCACACUGGAACUGAGACACGGUCCAGACUCCUACGGGAGGCAGCAGUGGGGAAUAUUGCACAAUGGGCGCAAGCCUGAUGCAGCCAUGCCGCGUGUGUGAAGAAGGCCUUCGGGUUGUAAAGCACUUUCAGCGGGGAGGAAGGCGUUAAGGUUAAUAACCUUGUCGAUUGACGUUACCCGCAGAAGAAGCACCGGCUAACUCCGUGCCAGCAGCCGCGGUAAUACGGAGGGUGCAAGCGUUAAUCGGAAUUACUGGGCGUAAAGCGCACGCAGGCGGUCUGUCAAGUCGGAUGUGAAAUCCCCGGGCUCAACCUGGGAACUGCAUUCGAAACUGGCAGGCUAGAGUCUUGUAGAGGGGGGUAGAAUUCCAGGUGUAGCGGUGAAAUGCGUAGAGAUCUGGAGGAAUACCGGUGGCGAAGGCGGCCCCCUGGACAAAGACUGACGCUCAGGUGCGAAAGCGUGGGGAGCAAACAGGAUUAGAUACCCUGGUAGUCCACGCCGUAAACGAUGUCGAUUUGGAGGUUGUGCCCUUGAGGCGUGGCUUCCGGAGCUAACGCGUUAAAUCGACCGCCUGGGGAGUACGGCCGCAAGGUUAAAACUCAAAUGAAUUGACGGGGGCCCGCACAAGCGGUGGAGCAUGUGGUUUAAUUCGAUGCAACGCGAAGAACCUUACCUGGUCUUGACAUCCACAGAACUUUCCAGAGAUGGAUUGGUGCCUUCGGGAACUGUGAGACAGGUGCUGCAUGGCUGUCGUCAGCUCGUGUUGUGAAAUGUUGGGUUAAGUCCCGCAACGAGCGCAACCCUUAUCCUUUGUUGCCAGCGGUUMGGCCGGGAACUCAAAGGAGACUGCCAGUGAUAAACUGGAGGAAGGUGGGGAUGACGUCAAGUCAUCAUGGCCCUUACGACCAGGGCUACACACGUGCUACAAUGGCAUAUACAAAGAGAAGCGACCUCGCGAGAGCAAGCGGACCUCAUAAAGUAUGUCGUAGUCCGGAUUGGAGUCUGCAACUCGACUCCAUGAAGUCGGAAUCGCUAGUAAUCGUAGAUCAGAAUGCUACGGUGAAUACGUUCCCGGGCCUUGUACACACCGCCCGUCACACCAUGGGAGUGGGUUGCA